GAUGAACAGCUGCUGAGGGAUCAGCUUGUUGUUGAGAUUGAACGCAUGUAUUCGGACUACAACAAAUUAAAAGCUGCAACAGUUACGAGUUUACGAAAACGCUUAUAAUAAUUAUUGGUAUUAUAGCAGCUGCUGGGAUCGCUGUUUUACUUCUACUGGUGCUGAUUGUUGGGUGUGGUUUUAGUCGUUUCUCUACCAUG